rnacentral:rRNA from 1 species
UACGUAGGGUGCGAGCGUUGUCCGGAAUUAUUGGGCGUAAAGAGCUCGUAGGCGGUGUGUCACGUCGGCCGUGAAAACCUGCGGCUCAACCGUGUGGUCUGCAGUCGAUACGGGCAGGCUGGAGUUCGGUAGGGGAGACUGGAAUUCCUGGUGUAGCGGUGAAAUGCGCAGAUAUCAGGAGGAACACCGGUGGCGAAGGCGGGUCUCUGGGCCGAUACUGACGCUGAGGAGCGAAAGCGUGGGGAGCGAACAGG